GGUUGAUAACUUGGACAAAUUUGGAUGGAUGAACAUGGGAACAGCAAAAGGCACAUCCCCAACUCCAGAGUGUUCCCCUGUGCCAAAUUUAGAGUCCCUGCUACAAAAUGGGGGGCACUACAGCUACUCAAGUCAACAGUUUUAAGGAGGCGCAAGAACACAGACAAAAUGAAUUUGCUUAAACAUUAAAGAAGACCAUUGAUGGAAAUUUGCAGUAGUUACCCAGGUCAAGAAGCCUCGAUAAUAUAAAAAUGUGAAAAUUUCUAAAAACCAGAAAGAUUGGAACAUAAAAGACUGGGAAGACCCUUGGAUUUAGGAAGGAAGGCUGUUUCAGAAGGCAGGGGCUGCCAAGGAGAAGGCUCUCAUGCCACCAGUGGUGCAAGACUGAAGAGGGGAAUGCACUGGAUUCUGAAAUGGCAAGGUUGAGUCCACAAAAGAAGCAGGAGUAGCACAAUGACAAGAGGGAACUAAACACACCGCAGAGUCACUGGCUGUACUGCAGUCAAGGAGAAAGAAUGAAAUGAAUUCAUUAAAGAUUUACAACUUUAUGGUCACACGUGUAAUUAAGAUGCAAAAUAUGAGAUUUGUUUCCAUGUCAUAAGAACAAAGAUGACUGAUACUUAACACUCUGCAGUAUAGGGUAAUUGGAUUAUCAUUUUAACAAGUGAAACAGCAUUUUCUAACGUUAUUCAGGCUAAAUUAAGGUAACCCAAAAUGCCGAGACUAUUAAUUUUGCAUUAUUAGUGACAUGCUGUACAUUGCUCUGAGUACUUGAACUGUGAGCAUGCUUGGGAAUUUCAAGAGAACUCUUUGAAUUACAUAGCAGAUUAUGUAUAGCAUCAAUAGAUACUAGAAGAGCCAUCAGCAGCGAUUUGAAAAUGUAUC